rnacentral:rRNA from 1 species
AAGUUUGAUCGUGGCUCAGAUUGAACGCUGGCGGCAUGCCUUACACAUGCAAGUCGAACGGCAGCACGGGAGCUUGCUACCUGGUGGCGAGUGGCGAACGGGUGAGUAAUGCAUCGGAACGUAUCCUGGAGUGGGGGAUAACGUAGCGAAAGUUACGCUAAUACCGCAUAUUCUGUGAGCAGGAAAGCGGGGGACCUUCGGGCCUCGCGCUCUUGGAGCGGCCGAUGUCGGAUUAGCUAGUUGGUGAGGUAAAGGCUCACCAAGGCGACGAUCCGUAGCAGGUCUGAGAGGAUGAUCUGCCACACUGGAACUGAGACACGGUCCAGACUCCUACGGGAGGCAGCAGUGGGGAAUUUUGGACAAUGGGGGCAACCCUGAUCCAGCCAUGCCGCGUGAGUGAAGAAGGCCUCGGUUGUAAGU